rnacentral:rRNA from 1 species
UACGUAGGUCCCGAGCGUUGUCCGGAUUUAUUGGGCGUAAAGCGAGCGCAGGUGGUUCAUUAAGUCUGGUGUAAAAGGCAGUGGCUCAACCAUUGUAUGCAUUGGAAAUUGGUAGACUUGAGUGCAGGAGAGGAGAGUGGAAUUCCAUGUGUAGCGGUGAAAUGCGUAGAUAUACGGAGAAACACCGGUGGCGAAAGCGGCUCUCUGGCCUGUAACUGACACUGAGGCUCGAAAGCGUGGGGAGCAAACAGG